AAUAAGUGCAGCCGUGGGUAUCCGUGUCCAACAUUUGACUAUCCAUCUUAUUUGAAAAAUUUAUAAAAAAAAUAGUCACAUAUAAAGUAUUAUUUAUGUUCUAUCAUCUAAUAAUAAUAAAAAUACUAAUCAUAAAAAAAUUCAAAUAAAACGAAUAGUCAAACGUUGAAUAUGAACAAU
rnacentral:pre_miRNA from 1 species